rnacentral:misc_RNA from 1 species
GAUGAAGAACGUAGCGAAAUGCGAUAAGUAAUGUGAAUUGCAGAAUUCAGUGAAUCAUCGAAUCUUUGAACGCACAUUGCGCCCCCUGGUAUUCCGGGGGGCAUGCCUGUCCGAGCGUCAUUACAACCCUCAAGCUCUGCUUGGUAUUGGGCCCCGCCAGUUCUGGCGGGCCCUAAAGUCAGUGGCGGUGCCUUCCGGCUCCGAGCGUAGUAAUUCUUCUCGCUCUGGAGACCCGGUUGUGUGCUUGCCAACAACCCCCAAUUUUUUAAGGUUGACCUCGGAUCAGGUAGGGAUACCCGCUGAACUUAAGCAUAUCAAUAAGCGGAGGA